rnacentral:SRP_RNA from 1 species
GCCGGGCGUGGUGGUGGGCGCCUGUAAUCCCAGCUACUUGGGAGGCUGAGGCAGGAGAAUCGCUUGAACCCAGGAGACAGAGGUUGCAGUGAGCAGAGAUCAUGCCACUGCACUCCAGCCUGGGUGACAGAGCAAGACUCAGACUCAA